AGAAAAGAUAUAAACGGAGACAGAGAAUGCACCAUGGUUGUUCUUAAUGUGUUUGCAGACCUCUGUGACUUUCUAGGGCAGGAGCCUUGUGUAUCUUCUGGUCCAGCACACAGGAAGCACCAAUAAGAAGGAGCUUGAGCUCUCAAGAUGAAAGCACCUAAAAAGAUCAGACAUAGAGCAGAUUCAACAAGAUCCACACAGACAUUGUGAAGAUUUUGAGAAAAUUUUGGCUGUGAACUCCAGGAAUGUGCAUGCCUAACUCCAAGUUUGGACUUCCCUCCUCCUAACCCAGCUGUCUUCCUUGUUACUGGAACCAACUUCCACUUUUCAGGAGUAUAGGAUCAAAAAGACACACAGGAAGACUACAAUUCUAUGCAGUAACAUUAUUUAAUUGUGAGACCUUCUACCACUUUUGCAUCCCCUACAGAAUUAGCGAGAGAAGUGCAAUCUCUCAGCCUGGAGUAUUGAGUCACCGCAUGAAGGUGCAUGUUCUGGAGUUGCCUGGCUCUGGAAUCCAAUUUGCAUGAAUGAAAAAUAAACUGUUGUCAUGUUAAGCCAUUGAGGUUUUGGGGUCAUUUGUGGCAAUAGCAUAACCCAACCUUUUCUAAUAAAUGUGUUUUCUGAUGAAAAAUUUAAAU
ensembl:lncRNA